UACGGAGGGUGCAAGCGUUAUCCGGAUUCACUGGGCGUAAAGGGUGCGUAGGUGGUUAGGUAAGUCCGAUGUGAAAUCUCCAGGCUCAACCUGGAAAUGGCAUUGGAUACUAUUUAGCUUGAGGAGUGGAGGGGGGACUGGAAUUCUCGGUGUAGCAGUGAAAUGCGUAGAUAUCGAGAGGAACACCAGUGGCGAAGGCGAGUCCCUGGACACUUCCUGACACUGAGGCACGAAAGCUAGGGGAGCAAACAGG
rnacentral:rRNA from 1 species